UACGUAGGGUGCAAGCGUUGUCCGGAAUUAUUGGGCGUAAAGAGCUCGUAGGCGGUCUGUCGCGUCGGCUGUGAAAACCCGGAGCUCAACUCCGGGCCUGCAGUCGAUACGGGCAAACUGGAGUACUGCAGGGGAGACUGGAAUUCCUGGUGUAGCGGUGAAAUGCGCAGAUAUCAGGAGGAACACCGGUGGCGAAGGCGGGGUCUCUGGGCGGUAACUGACGCUGGAGGAGCGAAAGCGUGGGGAGCGAACAGG
rnacentral:rRNA from 1 species